AAAAAAAAAAUUAUUAUAGAUUAAUAAUUUUAUUUUAAAUUUAUUUUUCAUAUAAAUUUUAGUGUUAAAUUUUAAUUAUUUUAAUAAUAUUUAUUUUUAUAAGUAGUAAUUAAUAUUAAAAAUUUAAGAAAUUAAGAUUUAGUAAUAUAAAAAUUAUUAACAAAUUUUGUGCCAGCAGUUGCGGUUAUACAAAAAUUAAAAUGAAAUAUAUUAGUAUUAAAAUAAAUAAAUUUAUUUAUAAAUUAAAAUUUAAAUUAUUAGGUAAAAUUUUAAUUUAUUUAAUUUUAUAAUAAAUUUAUGAUUUAAUAAAUUUAAAUAAGAAACUAGGAUUAGAUACCCUAUUAUUUUAAAUAUAAAUAAAUAAAACUAAAGUAGUAAAUGAUUAUUUAUUGAAAUUUAAGUAAUUUGGCGGUAUUUUAGUUUAUUUAGAGGAAUCUGUUUAUUAAUUGAUAAUCCACGAAUUAAUUUACUUAAUUUAAUAUUUUGUAUAUCGUUGUUAAAAAAAUAUUUAAAAAUAAUAAAUAAUAUUUAAAAAUUUAAAUUUAAAAUUAAAUCAGAUCAAGAUGCAGAUUAUAAUUAAGAAUAUAAUGGAUUACAAUAAAUUUAUUUAAAUGAAUAUUUAUAUGAAAAAUAAAUUGAAAGUGGAUUUAAAUGUAAUUUUAUUUAUUUUAAUAAAAUGAUUUAAAAUUAAAAUAUGUACAUAUUGCCCGUCGCUUUCAUAAAUAAAUUGAAAUAAGUCGUAACAAAGUAGAGGUACUGGAAAGUGUUUCUAGAAAGAU
rnacentral:ncRNA from 1 species